AUUGAACGCUGGCGGCAUGCCUUACACAUGCAAGUCGAACGGCAGCACGGGAGCUUGCUCCUGGUGGCGAGUGGCGAACGGGUGAGUAAUACAUCGGAACGUACCCAGGAGUGGGGGAUAACGUAGCGAAAGUUACGCUAAUACCGCAUAUUCUGUGAGCAGGAAAGCGGGGGAUCGCAAGACCUCGCGCUCUUGGAGCGGCCGAUGUCGGAUUAGCUAGUUGGUGAGGUAAAAGCUCACCAAGGCGACGAUCCGUAGCAGGUCUGAGAGGAUGAUCUGCCACACUGGGACUGAGACACGGCCCAGACUCCUACGGGAGGCAGCAGUGGGGAAUUUUGGACAAUGGGGGCAACCCUGAUCCAGCCAUGCCGCGUGAGUGAAGAAGGCCUUCGGGUUGUAAAGCUCUUUCGGCGGGGAAGAAAUGGCAACGGCUAAUAUCCGUUGUUGAUGACGGUACCCGCAUAAGAAGCACCGGCUAACUACGUGCCAGCAGCCGCCGUAACAC
rnacentral:rRNA from 1 species